AUUGAACGCUGGCGGCAGGCCUAACACAUGCAAGUCGAGCGAGAGGCGGACGGGUGAGCAAUGUAUGGGGACUGCCCGAUAGAGGGGGAUAACUACGGGGAACGGUGGCUAAUACCGCAUACGAGCGGAUAACCGCGAUGGGAUUAGGUAGUAGGUGGGGUAAAGGCAAACAGAGGCGACGAUCUCUAGCUGGUCUGAGAGGGUGAUCAGCCACACUGGGACUGAGACACGGGCCAGACUCCUACGGAGGCAGCAGUGGGGAUUAUUGCACAAUGGGCGCAAGCCUGAUCCAGCCAUGCCGCGUGUGUGAAGAAGGCCUUAGGGUUGUAAAGUACUUUCAGCUGGGAGGCGUUACCCGCAGAAGAAGCACCGGCUAACUCCGUGCCAGCCGCCGCGGUAAUAC
rnacentral:rRNA from 1 species